rnacentral:rRNA from 1 species
GGUUAAGCGACUAAGCGUACACGGUGGAUGCCCUGGCAGUCAGAGGCGAUGAAGGACGUGCUAAUCUGCGAUAAGCGCCGGUAAGGUGAUAUGAACCGUUAUAACCGGCGAUUUCCGAAUGGGGAAACCCAGUGUGAUUCGUCACACUAUCAUUAACUGAAUCCAUAGGUUAAUGAGGCGAACCGGGGGAACUGAAACAUCUAAGUACCCCGAGGAAAAGAAAUCAACCGAGAUUCCCCCAGUAGCGGCGAGCGAACGGGGAGGAGCCCAGAGCCUGAAUCAGCAUGUGUGUUAGUGGAAGCGUCUGGAAAGGCGCGCGAUACAGGGUGACAGCCCCGUACACAAAAGCGCAUGUGCUGUGAGCUCGAUGAGUAGGGCGGGACACGUGGUAUCCUGUCUGAAUAUGGGGGGACCAUCCUCCAAGGCUAAAUACUCCUGACUGACCGAUAGUGAACCAGUACCGUGAGGGAAAGGCGAAAAGAACCCCGGCGAGGGGAGUGAAAAAGAACCUGAAACCGUGUACGUACAAGCAGUGGGAGCACAGGUUUACCUGUGUGACUGCGUACCUUUUGUAUAAUGGGUCAGCGACUUAUAUUCUGUAGCAAGGUUAACCGUAUAGGGGAGCCGUAGGGAAACCGAGUCUUAACCGGGCGUUAAGUUGCAGGGUAUAGACCCGAAACCCGGUGAUCUAGCCAUGGGCAGGUUGAAGGUUGGGUAACACUAACUGGAGGACCGAACCGACUAAUGUUGAAAAAUUAGUGGAUGACCUGUGGCUGGGGGUGAAAGGCCAAUCAAACCGGGAGAUAGCUGGUUCUCCCCGAAAGCUAUUUAGGUAGCGCCUCGUGAAUUCAUCUCCGGGGGUAGAGCACUGUUUCGGCUAGGGGGCCAUCCCGGCUUACCAACCCGAUGCAAACUGCGAAUACCGGAGAAUGUUAUCACGGGAGACACACGGCGGGUGCUAACGUCCGUCGUGAAGAGGGAAACAACCCAGACCGCCAGCUAAGGUCCCAAAGUCAUGGUUAAGUGGGAAACGAUGUGGGAAGGCCCAGACAGCCAGGAUGUUGGCUUAGAAGCAGCCAUCAUUUAAAGAAAGCGUAAUAGCUCACUGGUCGAGUCGGCCUGCGCGGAAGAUGUAACGGGGCUAAACCAUGCACCGAAGCUGCGGCAGCGAACGUAUCACCCAAGACAACUUUACGGAGUUGACGAUUGACGGAGCGAAGCGACGUCAAAGCGUUCAUUAAAGUCGAGUUGGCUUAGGGAUACGUUCGUUGGGUAGGGGAGCGUUCUGUAAGCCUGUGAAGGUGUGUCGUGAGGCAUGCUGGAGGUAUCAGAAGUGCGAAUGCUGACAUAAGUAACGAUAAAGCGGGUGAAAAGCCCGCUCGCCGGAAGACCAAGGGUUCCUGUCCAACGUUAAUCGGGGCAGGGUGAGUCGACCCCUAAGGCGAGGCCGAAAGGCGUAGUCGAUGGGAAACGGGUUAAUAUUCCCGUACUUGGUGUUACUGCGAAGGGGGGACGGAGAAGGCUAUGUUGGCCGGGCGACGGUUGUCCCGGUUUAAGCGUGUAGGUGUGUGUUCCAGGUAAAUCCGGUUCACUUUAACACUGAGGCGUGACGACGAGGCACUACGGUGCUGAAGCAACAAAUGCCCUGCUUCCAGGAAAAGCCUCUAAGCAUCAGGUAACACGAAAUCGUACCCCAAACCGACACAGGUGGUCAGGUAGAGAAUACCAAGGCGCUUGAGAGAACUCGGGUGAAGGAACUAGGCAAAAUGGUGCCGUAACUUCGGGAGAAGGCACGCUGACACGUAGGUGAAGUGAUUUACUCAUGGAGCUGAAGUCAGUCGAAGAUACCAGCUGGCUGCAACUGUUUAUUAAAAACACAGCACUGUGCAAACACGAAAGUGGACGUAUACGGUGUGACGCCUGCCCGGUGCCGGAAGGUUAAUUGAUGGGGUCAGCGCAAGCGAAGCUCCUGAUCGAAGCCCCGGUAAACGGCGGCCGUAACUAUAACGGUCCUAAGGUAGCGAAAUUCCUUGUCGGGUAAGUUCCGACCUGCACGAAUGGCGUAAUGAUGGCCAGGCUGUCUCCACCCGAGACUCAGUGAAAUUGAACUCGCUGUGAAGAUGCAGUGUACCCGCGGCAAGACGGAAAGACCCCGUGAACCUUUACUAUAGCUUGACACUGAACAUUGAGCCUUGAUGUGUAGGAUAGGUGGGAGGCUUUGAAGUGUGGACGCCAGUCUGCAUGGAGCCGACCUUGAAAUACCACCCUUUAAUGUUUGAUGUUCUAACGUGGACCCGUAAUCCGGGUUGCGGACAGUGUCUGGUGGGUAGUUUGACUGGGGCGGUCUCCUCCUAAAGAGUAACGGAGGAGCACGAAGGUUGGCUAAUCCUGGUCGGACAUCAGGAGGUUAGUGCAAUGGCAUAAGCCAGCUUGACUGCGAGCGUGACGGCGCGAGCAGGUGCGAAAGCAGGUCAUAGUGAUCCGGUGGUUCUGAAUGGAAGGGCCAUCGCUCAACGGAUAAAAGGUACUCCGGGGAUAACAGGCUGAUACCGCCCAAGAGUUCAUAUCGACGGCGGUGUUUGGCACCUCGAUGUCGGCUCAUCACAUCCUGGGGCUGAAGUAGGUCCCAAGGGUAUGGCUGUUCGCCAUUUAAAGUGGUACGCGAGCUGGGUUUAGAACGUCGUGAGACAGUUCGGUCCCUAUCUGCCGUGGGCGCUGGAGAACUGAGGGGGGCUGCUCCUAGUACGAGAGGACCGGAGUGGACGCAUCACUGGUGUUCGGGUUGUCAUGCCAAUGGCACUGCCCGGUAGCUAAAUGCGGAAGAGAUAAGUGCUGAAAGCAUCUAAGCACGAAACUUGCCCCGAGAUGAGUUCUCCCUGAGACUUAGAGUCUCCUGAAGGAACGUUGAAGACGACGACGUUGAUAGGCCGGGUGUGUAAGCGCAGCGAUGCGUUGAGCUAACCGGUACUAAUGAACCGUGAGGCUUAACCUU